rnacentral:rRNA from 1 species
AUGCACGCUGGCGGCGUGCCUGAUACAUGCAAGUCGCGCGAACAGACGAGGAGCUUGCUCCUCUGACGUUAGCGGCGGACGGGUGAGUAACACGUGGAUAACCUACCUAUAAGACUGGGAUAACUUCGGGAAACCGGAGCUAAUACCGGAUAAUAUAUUGAACCGCAUGGUUCAAUAGUGAAAGACGGUUUUGCUGUCACUUAUAGAUGGAUCCGCGCCGCAUUAGCUAGUUGGUAAGGUAACGGCUUACCAAGGCGACGAUGCGUAGCCGACCUGAGAGGGUGAUCGGCCACACUGGAACUGAGACACGGUCCAGACUCCUACGGGAGGCAGCAGUAGGGAAUCUUCCGCAAUGGGCGAAAGCCUGACGGAGCAACGCCGCGUGAGUGAUGAAGGUCUUCGGAUCGUAAAACUCUGUUAUUAGGGAAGAACAAAUGUGUAAGUAACUAUGCACGUCUUGACGGUACCUAAUCAGAAAGCCACGGCUAACUACGUG